GAUGAACGCUGGCGGCGUGCCUAAUACAUGCAAGUCGAGCGAACAGACGAGGAGCUUGCUCCUCUGACGUUAGCGGCGGACGGGUGAGUAACACGUGGAUAACCUACCUAUAAGACUGGGAUAACUUCGGGAAACCGGAGCUAAUACCGGAUAAUAUAUUGAACCGCAUGGUUCAAUAGUGAAAGAUGGUUUUGCUGUCACUUAUAGAUGGAUCCGCGCCGCAUUAGCUAGUUGGUAAGGUAACGGCUUACCAAGGCAACGAUGCGUAGCCGACCUGAGAGGGUGAUCGGCCACACUGGAACUGAGACACGGUCCAGACUCCUACGGGAGGCAGCAGUAGGGAAUCUUCCGCAAUGGGCGAAAGCCUGACGGAACAACGCCGCGUGAGUGAUGAAGGUCUUCGGAUCGUAAAACUCUGUUAUUAGGGAAGAACAAAUGUGUAAGUAACUAUGCACGUCUUGACGGUACCUAAUCAGAAAGCCACGGCUAACUACGUG
rnacentral:rRNA from 1 species